rnacentral:rRNA from 1 species
ACUCCUACGGGAGGCAUCAGUGGGGAAUAUUGCACAAUGGGGGAAACCCUGAUGCAGCCAUGCCGCGUGUGUGAAGAAGGCCUUCGGUUGUAAAGCACUUUCAGUAGGGAGGAAGGUAGUGUAGUUAACACCUGCAUUAUUUGACGUUACCUACAGAAGAAGCACCGGCUAACUCCGUGCCAGCAGCCGCGGUAAUACGGAGGGUGCGAGCGUUAAUCGGAAUUACUGGGCGUAAAGCGCAUGCAGGCGGCCUGUUAAGUCAGAUGUGAAAGCCCGGGGCUUAACCUCGGAAUUGCAUUUGAAACUGGCAGGCUAGAGUCUUGUAGAGGGGGUAGGAA